UGGUCAUAUACCAAGGCUUUCAGGAUGGACUGUGUCUGACUUGCUGUGGAAUUGACCAGAAAACAAACCAUCCCAGCAGGCUUCUGCAGCAGCUUGCUGAGAAAACCUUCUGGGAACAUGA
rnacentral:snoRNA from 1 species